rnacentral:rRNA from 1 species
UACGUAGGGUGCGAGCGUUGUCCGGAAUUAUUGGGCGUAAAGGGCUCGUAGGCGGUUUGUCGCGUCGGGAGUGAAAUCCACGUGGCUUAACUGGUGGCUUGCUUUCGAGUACGGGCAGACUGGAGGUAUGCAGGGGAGAACGGAAUUCCUGGUGUAGCGGUGGAAAUGCGCAGAUAUCAGGAGGAACACCGGUGGCGAAGGCGGUUCUCUGGGCCUUACCUGACGCUGAGGAGCGAAAGCGUGGGGAGCGAACAGG